CAGCUCCAAUAGCGUAUAAUAAAGUAGUUACAGUUAAAAGGCUCAUAGUUGAACUUGUUGCCUGGAUGGCUUGGUCUGAGGCUUAUGCGUGAGUACCUGAGCCAUCUGGCCAUCCUUGGGUGGAACCUGUGUUACAUUAAGUUGUCAUGUAGGGAAUGCCCCUUGUUUACUUUGAAAAAUUAGAGUGUUCAAAGCAGGCUUAUACCUUUGAAUAUAUUAGCAUGGAAUAAUGGUAUAGGACUUUGGUACUAUUUUGUUAGUUUGUGCACAAAAGUAAUGAUCAAUAGAAACAGUUGGGGAUAUUAGUACUUUUAGGUCAGAGGUGCAAUUCUUGAAUUCUUUCAAGACUAACUACUGUGAAAUCACUUAACAAGGAUAUUUCCA
rnacentral:rRNA from 1 species